rnacentral:rRNA from 1 species
UAGACGUUUGAGUCCUGGCGUCAGGAUGAAACGCUGGCGGCGUGCUUAACACAUUGGCAAGUCGAACGGACUUCAUAUUGGAAACCUAGUGAUUUAUGAGUUAGUGGCGGACGGGUGAGUAACGCGUGGAAACCUGCCGUAGUACUGGGGGAUAACACUUUAGAAAUAGGUGCUAAUACCGCAUAAGCGCACAGCUUCGCAUGAAGUGGUGUGAAAAACUCUGGUGGUAUACGAUGGUUCCGCGUCUGAUUAGCUUGUUGGUGGGGUAAUGGCUCGACCAAGGCGACGAUCAGUAGCCGGCCUGAGAGGGUGAACGGCCACAUUGGGACUGAGACCACGGCCCAAACUCCUACGGGAGGCAGCAGUGGGGAAUAUUGCACAAUGGGGGAAACCCUGAUGCAGCGACGCCGCGUGAGUGAAGAAGUAUUUCGGUAUGUAAAGCUCUAUCAGCAGGGAAGAAAAUGACGGUACCUGAUUAAGAAGCCCCGGCUAACUACGUG